AUUGAAAGCACCAGUGAGCUCCAGGCCGUUACUUUGAAGUCCUGGGCAUGUUGAUUAAUGAGUCACAAGCUGGCAGAGCUCCAGCCUUUCAGGACCGGGUUUCCAAUGUCCUUGCUGCUGCUUUCUGCUGUUCAGACGCUUCCAAGUCAAUUGUGAAGGCCAUGAGGCUCCGACCCUGCCCGCCAGUGAGAUCUCUGGUCCCCAGGAUGAGCCCAGGACCUGGCUGUUGCUGUCACCACCCUGACCUGCAGAGAAGCUCCAGACUCGAUUCUCUAACAACACAGGAGAUCGGUUCAGAGUCAGUUAUUCCGUCACCUCCACGCUCAACGCUGGGAAAGUCACCAGCUGUAGCAUCUGACACCACCGUCGAAGUUUCUACAUUUUGAAGAAAUGGUACCAGUUAUGGAAACCCACUCC
rnacentral:lncRNA from 1 species